CUUAAAUUGAAGAGUUUGAUCAUGGCUCAGAUUGAACGCUGGCGGCAGGCCUAACACAUGCAAGUCGAGCGGCAGCGGAAAGUAGCUUGCUACUUUGCCGGCGAGCGGCGGACGGGUGAGUAAUGUCUGGGGAUCUGCCUGAUGGAGGGGGAUAACUACUGGAAACGGUAGCUAAUACCGCAUAACCUCGCAAGAGCAAAGUGGGGGACCUUCGGGCCUCACGCCAUCGGAUGAACCCAGAUGGGAUUAGCUAGUAGGUGGGGUAAUGGCUCACCUAGGCGACGAUCCCUAGCUGGUCUGAGAGGAUGACCAGCCACACUGGAACUGAGA
rnacentral:rRNA from 1 species